rnacentral:rRNA from 1 species
AGUGAACGCUGGCGGUAGGCCUAACACAUGCAAGUCGAACGGCAGCACAGUAAGAGCUUGCUCUUACGGGUGGCGAGUGGCGGACGGGUGAGGAAUACAUCGGAAUCUACUUUUUCGUGGGGGAUAACGUAGGGAAACUUACGCUAAUACCGCAUACGACCUACGGGUGAAAGCAGGGGAUCUUCGGACCUUGCGCGAUUGAAGGAGCCGAUGUCGGAUUAGCUAGUUGGCGGGGUAAAGGCCCACCAAGGCGACGAUCCGUAGCUGGUCUGAGAGGAUGAUCAGCCACACUGGAACUGGGACACGGUCCAGACUCCUACGGGAGGCAGCAGUGGGGAAUAUUGGACAAUGGGCGCAAGCCUGAUCCAGCCAUACCGCGUGGGUGAAGAAGGCCUUCGGGUUGUAAAGCCCUUUUGUUGGGAAAGAAAAGCAGCAGGUUAAUACCCCGCUGUUCUGACGGUACCCAAAGAAUAAGCACCGGCUAACUUCGUG